rnacentral:rRNA from 1 species
AUUGAACGCUGGCGGCAUGCUUUACGCAUGCAAGUCGAACGGUAACAGGCCGCAAGGUGCUGACGAGUGGCGAACGGGUGAGUAAUGCAUCGGAACGUGCCCAGUCGUGGGGGAUAACUGCUCGAAAGAGCAGCUAAUACCGCAUACGAUCUGUGGAUGAAAGCGGGGGACCGUAAGGCCUCGCGCGAUUGGAGCGGCCGAUGUCAGAUUAGGUAGUUGGUGGGGUAAAGGCUCACCAAGCCAACGAUCUGUAGCUGGUCUGAGAGGACGACCAGCCACAAUGGGACUGAGACACGGCCCAGACUCCUACGGGAGGCAGCAGUGGGGAAUUUUGGACAAUGGGGGCAACCCUGAUCCAGCAAUGCCGCGUGCAGGAAGAAGGCCUUCGGGUUGUAAACUGCUUUUGUACGGAACGAAACGGUCUGGGUUAAUACCCUGGGCUAAUGACGGUACCGUAAGAAUAAGCACCGGCUAACUACGUGCCAGCCGCCGCCGUAACAC